rnacentral:rRNA from 1 species
AUACGGAGGGAGCAAGCGUUAUUCGGAAUCACUGGGCGUAAAGGACGCGUAGGCGGGUUUGUAAGUCAGGUGUGAAAUCCUACAGCUCAACUGUAGAACUGCACUUGAAACUGCAGACCUAGAGUAUGGAAGGGGCAGAUGGAAUUAGUGGUGUAGGGGUAAAAUCCGUAGAUAUCACUAGGAAUACCGAAAGCGAAGGCGAUCUGCUGGGACAUUACUGACGCUGAGGCGUGAAAGCGUGGGGAGCAAACAGGAUUAGAAACCCUAGUAGUCC